CAGGAAGGAAAUAACACAGGUCAAUUGUUAACCCAGUUCGGUGCAACGUCACCUACAUCUGGGGGCAUCCAAGCCAGGAAGGAAAUCCACUAUAACAGUAUUAGUUUGAAGUUCUAAACAACCUCUGGUUUUACAAACUUCUCACCUAAUCACUACCCGUGGAAUUUCUAUCUAAGACUCUCCUAGAUUUGAGAACCUUCUCACUUCCCUUCAAUCAUACAACAAUGA
rnacentral:lncRNA from 1 species